AGUGAAUAGAUACCCUGGUAGUCCUGGCAGUAAACGGUGGAUACUAGGUAUCAGGGGUCAAGGCCUUUGGUGCCGAAAGCGAAACGCGUUAAGUAUCCCGCCUGGGGACUACGGCCGCAAGGUUAAAACUCAAAGGAAUUGACGGGGACCCGCACAAGCAGCGGAGCGUGUGGUUUAAUUCGAUGCAACACGAAGAACCUCACCUGGGUUUGACAUAUACGUAGUAGGGAACCGAAAGGGACCGACGCUUCGGCGAGCGUAUACAGGUGCUGCAUGGCUGUCGUCAGCUCGUGCCGUGAGGUGUUAGGUUAAGUCCUACAACGAGCGCAACCCUCGUUGCCAGUUACAAGUUACUGGCGAGACUGCUGGCAUAUAACCAGAGGAAGGUGGGGAUGACGUCAAGUCAGCAUGGCCUUUAUAUCCAGGGCUACACACACGCUACAAUGGCCGGUACAGAGGGCAGCGAAGUCGCGAGGCGGAGCGAAUCUCAGAAAGCCGGUCUCAGUUCAGAUUGCAGGCUGCAACCCGCCUGC
rnacentral:rRNA from 1 species